GUCUAAUUAAAAUACAAAAACAACUUACAUCUUGUAAGCUUCCCAAUCACUUGGUUUCCAUUCUACAUCAAGAUUCAGAAACAAAAUUUAAAAUCUGAACUUAAUUAAAAGAUAAAAAGAAACAAAAUACCUUAGCAUAUACACGAUGCUUGAACAAAAUUCUUUGCCUUCUUCUCUUCCUCUUAUCAUCUCUUCGACUUUGUCGACAAAAAAG